GACGUAGGGGGCCAGCGUUGCUCGGAAUUACUGGGCGUAAAGGGUUCGUAGGCGGUGUGGCAAGUCGGUAGUGAAAUCUCCAGGCUUAACUUGGAGCUGCUGCCGAAACUGCCGUGCUAGAGUGUGGGAGAGGCGAGUGGAAUUACAGGUGUAGCGGUGAAAUGCGUAGAUAUCUGUAGGAACACCCGUGGCGAAGGCGGCUCGCUAGGACCACAACUGACGCUGAGGAACGAAAGCUAGGGGAGCAAACAGG
rnacentral:rRNA from 1 species